rnacentral:misc_RNA from 1 species
UUUCCGUAGGUGAACCUGCGGAAGGAUCAUUAGUGAAUUUUGGGAGUACCUCUUAAUCGGAGAAGGCCCAGUCCACUUUUUUCAAACCCGAGUGCAUUUGUCCCCUUUUUACCACGCCUAUGCAGUAUAAAACGUUGUGUUACCUUUGAAAUUAUGAAAGAACAACUUUCAGCAAUGGAUCUCUUGGCUCUCGCAUCGAUGAAGAACGCAGC